rnacentral:tRNA from 1 species
CUAGAUAGGCAGGCCUCGAUCCUACAGAACUUUAGUUAACAGCUAAACACCCAAACCAGCGGGCUUCUAUCCG